rnacentral:rRNA from 1 species
AUUGAACGCUGGCGGCAGGCUUAACACAUGCAAGUCGAGCGGAGAUGAGGUGCUUGCACCUUAUCUUAGCGGCGGACGGGUGAGUAAUGCUUAGGAAUCUGCCUAUUAGUGGGUGACAACAUUCCGAAAGGAAUGCUAAUACCGCAUACGUCCUACGGGAGAAAGCAGGGGAUCUUCGGACCUGGCGCUAAUAGAUGAGCCUAAGUCGGAUUAGCUAGUUGGUGGGGUAAAGGCCUACCAAGGCGACGAUCCGUAGCGGGUCUGAGAGGAUGAUCCGCCACAAUGGGACUGAGACACGGCCCAGGAUCCUACGGGAGGCAGCAGUGGGGAAUAUGGGACAAUGGGGGGAACCCUGAUCCAGCCAUGCCGCGUGUGUGAAGAAGGCCUUAUGGUUGUAAAGCACUUUAAGCGAGGAGGAGGCUACUGAGACUAAUACUCUUGGAUAGUGGACGUUACUCGCAGAAUAAGCACCGGCUAACUCUGUGCCAGCCGCCGCGGUAA